rnacentral:rRNA from 1 species
AAAUUGAAGAGUUUGAUCAUGGCUCAGAUUGAACGCUGGCGGCAGGCCUAACACAUGCAAGUCGAACGGUAACAGAAAGCAGCUUGCUGCUUUGCUGACGAGUGGCGGACGGGUGAGUAAUGUCUGGGAAACUGCCUGAUGGAGGGGGAUAACUACUGGAAACGGUAGCUAAUACCGCAUAACGUCGCAAGACCAAAGAGGGGGACCUUCGGGCCUCUUGCCAUCGGAUGUGCCCAGAUGGGAUUAGCUUGUUGGUGGGGUAACGGCUCACCAAGGCGACGAUCCCUAGCUGGUCUGAGAGGAUGACCAGCCACACUGGAACUGAGACACGGUCCAGACUCCUACGGGAGGCAGCAGUGGGGAAUAUUGCACAAUGGGCGCAAGCCUGAUGCAGCCAUGCCGCGUGUAUGAAGAAGGCCUUCGGGUUGUAAAGUACUUUCAGCGGGGAGGAAGGGAGUAAAGUUAAUACCUUUGCUCAUUGACGUUACCCGCAGAAGAAGCACCGGCUAACUCCGUGCCAGCAGCCGCGGUAAUACGGAGGGUGCAAGCGUUAAUCGGAAUUACUGGGCGUAAAGCGCACGCAGGCGGU